rnacentral:lncRNA from 1 species
AUUUGAAAACAGAUUUCUUUAAUCAUAACACCACACAACAUUUUUGUACCACUAACAGUCACAAUGUCAAGAGGGAAUAAGCAGUUUACAGGCCUCUGGCAAAACAAAGGGUUGUAGGCAAUAAGGAAAAUAUCAGAGAAUUUUUCUUUCAAUUCUCUCUACUCCAAAAAAUAAAAUGCUUUUAGUUUUAAUCUGUUUUCGUGUGGUCUUGCUUAAGUGCACGUGAGGACUUCCCCCUCUUGCUUGCAGCCAGUUGUUUCAGUACAGCACAUACAUCAGCCUCAUAUCCUAGUUCUAAUAUUGCUUCCAGUGCAGGAAUCAGUCACUGCAGAGUACGAAAAAAAUUAAGAAAAUCACGUAUUUCUCAAUCUUCUGCAAAAGUGGAGUCCAAACCGAUAACGGGAGCAAGUUUUGUUGUGCAGAAGCAGGGAAAAACCUCAGCUGCAGUCGCGUCUCCUAAGAUAAUGCCAAGUCAGAUUUUUCACAAAUCAAGCUGUGUCAAAAUAAAAACACUGCCAAAUUAUGAAGUGACAGGGUGCUGAUUACAAUUAUUAACGAAAACUGGCCGUGUUAAGCUCUUCUGUCACCUAAUUUAUUAAGAAAAAUAUUUCAGUAGCAGAGCACUUGGGAAUGGUGCCUGCAUUGUGCACACUGACCAAGACAGCACAAGCUGCUGUGCUGUAAAAAAGUAAUUCUUUCUAGGACACAAACAGCCCCCCACCGAACUUUCAUCUGCUUCUUGCCUUGCUGCAUCAUGCACUAGUUGGAUUUAUUUAAAUUAUUUUGAAAGGGGUAAAGGAUUCGGGACAAAGGAGCUAAUUUCUAAUCCAUAUUCAGUGCUGAAGAUGAGCCUGUGUUACUUCCUCCUCUUUGAAAUCAAUUUGCGUUUAAAAUAUCCAUUCAAAUGUCCUGUUUUCAGUUCAGAUUAAGAGAAGACCCUUUAAAGAAUAACAAUUAAUUACUUUGGAAGUUUAGUUGACCACGUCGCGAAUUUUAUUUAGAAGGAAAAACAAAAGUUUCUGUCUCCCGAGGUCUCUACAGGUCCAGGACUCGGGGUUUAUCGCCUCUUUUUUAACUCACCCGUUGCCUCUCCGAAGGGAAACUUCGCUGAGGGGAACAACAGUCUUUCUUUUCCACGCCGCUGCGAACCGGGGGGGGUGCGUCGCCGAAAUUCGGAUAAAAACCGGCUUUUUCGCCUCCUAAGAAACACAAAAUGAGCGGGGAGACGGGAGCGUUCCGACGGGCGGC